rnacentral:rRNA from 1 species
GAACCAGUACCGUGAGGGAAAGGUGAAAAGCACCCCGGAAGGGGAGUGAAAUAGAACCUGAAACCGUGUGCUUACAAGUAGUCAGAGCCCGUUAAUGGGUGAUGGCGUGCCUUUUGUAGAAUGAACCGGCGAGUUACGAUUUGAUGCAAGGUUAAGCAGUAAAUGUGGAGCCGUAGCGAAAGCGAGUCUGAAUAGGGCGUUUAGUAUUUGGUCGUAGACCCGAAACCAGGUGAUCUACCCUUGGUCAGGUUGAAGUUCAGGUAACACUGAAUGGAGGACCGAACCGACUUACGUUGAAAAGUGAGCGGAUGAACUGAGGGUAGCGGAGAAAUUCCAAUCGAACCUGGAGAUAGCUGGUUCUCUCCGAAAUAGCUUUAGGGCUAGCCUCAAGUGAUGAUUAUUGGAGGUAGAGCACUGUUUGGACGAGGGGCCCCUCUCGGGUUACCGAAUUCAGACAAACUCCGAAUGCCAAUUAAUUUAACUUGGGAGUCAGAACAUGGGUGAUAAGGUCCGUGUUCGAAAGGGAAACAGCCCAGACCACCAGCUAAGGUCCCAAAAUAUAUGUUAAGUGGAAAAGGAUGUGGCGUUGCCCAGACAACUAGGAUGUUGGCUUAGAAGCAGCCAUCAUUUAAAGAGUGCGUAAUAGCUCACUAGUCGAGUGACACUGCGCCGAAAAUGUACCGGGGCUAAACAUAUUACCGAAGCUGUGGAUUGUCCUUUGGACAAUGGUAGGAGAGCGUUCUAAGGGCGUUGAAGCAUGAUCGUAAGGACAUGUGGAGCGCUUAGAAGUGAGAAUGCCGGUGUGAGUAGCGAAAGACGGGUGAGAAUCCCGUCCACCGAUUGACUAAGGUUUCCAGAGGAAGGCUCGUCCGCUCUGGGUUAGUCGGGUCCUAAGCUGAGGCCGACAGGCGUAGGCGAUGGAUAACAGGUUGAUAUUCCUGUACCACCUAUAAUCGUUUUAAUCGAUGGGGGGACGCAGUAGGAUAGGCGAAGCGUGCGAUUGGAUUGCACGUCUAAGCAGUAAGGCUGAGUAUUAGGCAAAUCCGGUACUCAUUAAGGCUGAGCUGUGAUGGGGAGAAGACAUUGUGUCUUCGAGUCGUUGAUUUCACACUGCCGAGAAAAGCCUCUAGAUAGAAAAUAGGUGCCCGUACCGCAAACCGACACAGGUAGUCAAGAUGAGAAUUCUAAGGUGAGCGAGCGAACUCUCGUUAAGGAACUCGGCAAAAUGACCCCGUAACUUCGGGAGAAGGGGUGCUCUUUAGGGUUAACGCCCAGAAGAGCCGCAGUGAAUAGGCCCAAGCGACUGUUUAUCAAAAACACAGGUCUCUGCUAAACCGUAAGGUGAUGUAUAGGGGCUGACGCCUGCCCGGUGCUGGAAGGUUAAGAGGAGUGGUUAGCUUCUGCGAAGCUACGAAUCGAAGCCCCAGUAAACGGCGGCCGUAACUAUAACGGUCCUAAGGUAGCGAAAUUCCUUGUCGGGUAAGUUCCGACCCGCACGAAAGGCGUAACGAUUUGGGCACUGUCUCAACGAGAGACUCGGUGAAAUCAUAG